rnacentral:rRNA from 1 species
GACGAACGCUGGCGGCGUGCCUAAUACAUGCAAGUUGAGCGAUGAAGAUUGGUGCUUGCACCAAUUUGAAGAGCAGCGAACGGGUGAGUAACGCGUGGGGAAUCUGCCUUUGAGCGGGGGACAACAUUUGGAAACGAAUGCUAAUACCGCAUAACAACUUUAAACAUAAGUUUUAAGUUUGAAAGAUGCAAUUGCAUCACUCAAAGAUGAUCCCGCGUUGUAUUAGCUAGUUGGUGAGGUAAAGGCUCACCAAGGCGAUGAUACAUAGCCGACCUGAGAGGGUGAUCGGCCACAUUGGGACUGAGACACGGCCCAAACUCCUACGGGAGGCAGCAGUAGGGAAUCUUCGGCAAUGGACGAAAGUCUGACCGAGCAACGCCGCGUGAGUGAAGAAGGUUUUCGGAUCGUAGAACUCUGUUGGUAGAGAAGAACGUUGGUGAGAGUGGAAAGCUCAUCAAGUGACGGUAACUACCCAGAAAGGGACGGCUAACUACGUG